UACGGGGGGGGCAAGCGUUGUUCGGAAUUACUGGGCGUAAAGGGCUCGUAGGUGGCCAACUAAGUCAGACGUGAAAUCCCUCGGCUUAACCGGGGAACUGCGUCUGAUACUGGAUGGCUUGAGUUCGGGAGAGGGAUGCGGAAUUCCAGGUGUAGCGGUGAAAUGCGUAGAUAUCUGGAGGAACACCGGUGGCGAAGGCGGCAUCCUGGAACGACACUGACACUGAGGAGCGAAAGCCAGGGGAGCAAACGGG
rnacentral:rRNA from 1 species